UGGUGUAGUCUGCAAACUUGCUGAGGGUGCACUCAAUCACUUUUAAGAUAUUUAAGGAAACUUUUAGAUUGCAGCUUGAACUGGUGAUUGAGCAUCUGGUGAAGGGGUGUGGCUGGCCCAGGGAGCACAGGCACAAUGUUUGCACCUAUGCUCCCCAUGUGACCCAGAGGGGUGGAUGCAGGAUGGAGCCAGCGCAGGCUCAGAUAAGGGCCAGCCACUGAAGAGAGAGUACCUUUUGGACCUAGACUGCUUCUUGAGAAGGAGUGCUGCGUAGCUAGAGAUUUUCUUCAUCAGUUGGCAGGUUGGUACUUCAGCAUUGCCCGCAACAUCUGUGAUCAAACUGCAGUUUUCAUUUGCAGAUUGCUGAGAAAGCCAUUAGUAUGCCUCAUCUACUGGAUUACAUAUCUGCUGCCAAGGCUGGAGGAAUCUGAAUUACAACAGGGAAGGCAAUUGAUUGGCGUUUGCAGAAGAGGCAGCUUGUCAGAAUGCUUACGUGAGUACUGCUUGUUCUCCAGCAUGCUAAUGACAGCUGUGACACAGCCUUUCCAGGCCAUGAGAAACCAGCCACAGCGUGCAAGUGACGCACUGACAGUGGUUUUUGAUGGAAAGAAAUAGGUCUUGUAACUUCCAUUCUCUCCUAUUUGCUACAUGUGUGCAAAUUCUAGCACUGACGACUACUGCUGACUGAUGAGCAGCUCAGAGCUGCAUUGGGAAUAAGAAAUCACAGUUUUACCAGAAGUCAGUUGAAGACACAAGUGAAAAAACAAACUGAAGCAGCUGCCACUCCAAAAUCAACAAGAUAUAAGAAAGCAUGUCUUACACAGAGAGUCUGGCAAACCUUCCGAGCUCUUGGAAUGCUUUCUAGUUGUGUUUAAAAGAUGGCCUUCCAGCCAUCUCCAGCACCACAGCUGAUUUCACACUUCAUGCAGCGUCCACCCAUGGUUUUCAGGGCUUAAACAAUGAAACCCAAUGGAAAUUAGGAAGAGCAAGCCCUGUUGUUGGGCCUAAAGCACACUGUGAAAAGCUCUGCUGCCUGUGCAGGGUGCAAUCUAGGAAGGUCUCUGACAUCAGAAGAGUGACGCAAGUGGCAGAUCCAUCUCCACGGCCUGCACAUGACAGACCCUCUGAUGAGAAAGGUGACCCAGAGGAAAAAAAAGGUGAGGAAAAAUCUCGAUAUCUGGUACUUUGCUACGCCAGAAUUGUGGCGUCUGAGUAGCUUGUAAGAAACUGGAGGAUCUCAAGUUGAAGCUCGAUGGUUCAGAUAGGCACUGCAGAGUCCCUAGAUACUUUCCUAGAUGCUUGGGGUAGUGUGUAGCUUCAGCAACAGCAUGUGAUUUCUACUUUGGACAAAGAUGUACUGGGGAAAUGCAAAGGGAGAAGAAGGUGAGGACAUGAUGUAUACUUGAAUAGAGUAAGGCAAGGAGCAAUAUGUAGUUCUUUGGUGGAUUUCAGCCCGCUUGUUGCUAUCAGUAAGUUCUGUCUACAGAGUGUUACUUGGAUAGUUGGGGUCUGAAGGAGGUUGAAUGUCUCAAUCCGCUGCUGCAGCCUGUGGCAAGGUUUGGAAAACAUUUUAAGUGCUUUUUGCUUUUGCUAUUAGCAGUGAAAUGGGCAAAUAUUCCAUGUCGCCAACUGAAAGAAAAGGUUAUUUAUUGAAGAGCUUGGGGGGGAAAAAAAAAGUCUAAUGAACUGGAAAUCCUGCUGUUUAACCUGUUCUGAUGGUAAGCUUAACACUGUAUCAAUUGCUGUCAACACAGCAACUGUCACUUUUUUUGGAAGUUUGCAUCUUUUAAAUGCAUAUUUUCAAUCAGCACUUCAGACUUCAGAGCUGUCACUACCUUCACAUGCCGCUGCUGCAAUCGCAAGUCAUUGCUUAUCAGACUAUUUGUUAGUGUGAACUUCUGCCCAAAGUGUCAAUGCAGGCAGUUGUAAGCCUUAAUAAAAUAGUUUUGCAUGUGUGUGUGCACAUCUGUGUACAUUUGUGCCAGAGGAGAGGAGAGAGGAGAUAAAACUGCACUUUUCAAUGCUCAAGAGAAAAGCUGUUAGGAUUACACAAUGAGGACAAAACAGCACUAAGUUUACAAGUCUUCACAUUAAAAAAUGACAAACAAGUGGGGGGAAGAAAAAUACCGAGCCUGAAACUUGCAGGUAAUUUGGAUUUGUGCAUCUUGACAUCCUUUGGUAGCAAGUAGACAGCAGAAGUUAGGAAAACUCCCACAAAGCACAAAGAUCUUUGUGAAAAACAAAAAUAAGGAUUUGAAUUUAGUGUGUUGUUGACAGAGAAACCUGUUCGUGCAUAUCUGAGUACCAUCAGCAGAUGAACAUUUUGGCUUAAAAGUUGUCAAACAGUAACUAACAAUCCAGGCGGUCUGAAAUUGUGUGAUGUCUCCAACAUCUGUCAGUAGUACUUCUCACUGAAAUCUAAAGAUGUUGGGAAAGUCUGAAUUUCUGACUGAAAAUAGCAAGUGUGAACGAAUGUGAAGAGCCAUUAUUUAUCCCAUAUAGAGAAGACUGCCGUUCUUGUUCUUGGAAGAUAGAUCAUCCUGUUACAAAGGUCUGGUUUGUGAAUAUUUAGCCAAGAUAGGAGACUACUAGUCCUUACUUGUCCAAGGUGGAUAGCGUUUAACUAAAAAAAUCAGUUCACUCGACUAAUUGUAUUUUGCUUGAAGAAAUUUAUUUUUUAUUUUUUGUGAGAAGGUAAUAAUAAAUGGUAUUGUUGUUUUUGAUCUAUUGUGAAGCAUUUUAAGUAAUUUAAAAGUAUUAUAUUAAAAAACUUAAAGUUUAAUUGCUAAACAGUGUUUCAAUCUUAUAUCCUUUCAUCUUUGCGAGAUAAAUUCUAAAUUAACGAGUGUCUUUUUUCUUAGAAUACUUUUUCUUUUUUUAGUAGUAUUUUGUUAAAUUCUAGUAAAUGGAUUUGUCUCUCGAUGACCUGCUUUCAUUUCGAGUCAUUUGUCUUCCGUUUGAUUGCCAAUGACUUCCAUAUUAAUAUGGUAAAGAAACAAGCAAAAUUGUAUGCCUCACUAUUGGUGUCAUGGCAUAUCUGUUGUGCAUGAUUGUAAUUACAUACACCAGCAGCCGAUUCUCUGUGAUGCUGUGUGUAGUGAACAGUGAACCUGGAUGCAGGGAAAAUCAAACUUAUCUCUGACACAAGACUUUGCAUGAAUAUUUUUCCCGACAGCAAAAACGAAACUUAAAAAAGGCAACUGCAUAAUAAUGCAUACACCUAACAUAGCCUACUGUCAGAGUAGGCCUGCCAGUUUUAUGGAGAAAGAGAAGGAUAUGGGAUCUAAUAUGAGUCAGUAAAUCUAAGCUAAGUAAAGUUUGUCAUUCACUGACAACUUAAUACAGUCCACGGCAAUUUUGUUGUUAUUGUUUAAUACAAUGGAAGGAGAGAACUGAAAAUAAUUGUAUGUUUCCUCCGUUAAAUAAAGUAAGUUUCUUCUGACUUGAAACUAUUUGCUAAGGUGUUCAAGGCAUCUUCUUCAGCUUUCACUACAUUCACAGCUAAUUCCUUCUCUAGGUUUUUAAUAUAUUUUCUGGAUUUCAUUAUAUCGUGGGAGUGAUCAUUUAGUCCUGCAGAUUUAAAAAUAACCUUUUUGUUUGUAGGUAUUGAUGCUAAGUAAGUUUUCAUUUUAUUUUCCUUUGCCUUAUAAACACUUUGAUUUUCUUCCCAUCUUCUCCCAUGCACAAAAAUUAGAAGCAUUAGAAAAAUCACAUUCCAGAAGUGAGACUGUCUUGAUGCUGAUCUUUUUCCUAAAUGUGAAAUCACACGCAUACAGCACAGCAGCAGUUCCCUUGUUUUUGUGCGCUCUAAGUGGUUUGAACACUUUGAAUUCCUCAGGCAGGAUUAUGGCACAAUUUAAAUGAGCGUUUCACAGUCACUGUGUUUGUUGCGAGUCUUCAGGAGAAUGUGUGUAAUUCCAAAAGCUUUUGAAAAGAAGGCUAUAUCAGUCUAUAACAUUCUGGACAACUAUUUGUUUUAUGUAUAUGUACCUUCUUGGGUUUUUUAUGAAUCUACAUCAACUGCCAUUGCAAUCAGUGUGAUUGUAACACAGCUAGAUGAGAAAGGAAUAAGGAGAACAAUCAGUAAUGCAAUCUAGCGGAUCUUUUUUCAUGAGAGUAGUCUCAAGGAAAUGAUGGAUUUUAAUGCCGAUCCUUCCAUUAACAGUAAUUUUGCAGACGAUGCUCUGUUUGCGUCUUGACUGUUGGGUUUUAAUGAAUAAACAAAAUUCAUUUAGCUCUCUCAGUACUCCGAUUCCAGCCUUCCCAGCCAGUGCGUAGCUUUGGCCCAUGCGUUUGAAAUGAAAUAGAAAAAUAUGUUCCUGUUUAUUUCUUUCAGCUUCUUUAGUAGGUAAAUUUUAAUUACAUCAGGACAAGAUAUCUCAUAUUCUGUUUUAAAACUAUUGAGUUUUUGUUUUAUCCAAUCCAAAGCAACUUUAUCUCUAACUCCUGUAGAGCACCACUGGCUCGAUGGCAAUACAUAAUAGAAAAAUUAGGACAGCAAUAUUUAAUAUUCAGUAGAAAACCCAUUACACGUGAUCCCUUUUAAUUAUUAUCCCACAAUGAAUAAGAUUCAAGAGUAAAUAAUCUCAUUGGAAUUUAAUUUUUAAAUUAAAAAUUAACAAUUUUUUUGUUCUAUGCAUGAAAUGUAAAAAUAGAUUUCAGUGAUCUACAUGCUAAACUCUCAGUGACGGGGUGAAAAUGUCCAUUAAAUGUUUUGUAUGGUUAAUCCUUCCUUACUCUUAGUCCGUGUUUUACUUGGAAGUGCAAAAUACACAAUGGAUCAUCUUGAAAUCUGUGCAGAAGUUGAUGAAAUGAUCUCCACUCUUCUCUUAUUACUUGGAAGUGUUCUGGACUCUGGCAGGGAAGGCCUGUGACUGACAGAAAGAAAAUAGAGGAAAUGUGGUCAUGCUGGCCGGGCUUCCAACCUCUGACAGAAGCAGGCUGUUGCAGUCAUGCUGUGUGGAGCCCGAAGAUGGCCUCGAUGAGCCUUAUGAGUCUCUUCCAACUUGGGACAGUCUGUAACUCUGCUGUUGUCUUGCAGGUUGUUUUAAAGAAUGGUGAGAUGAAAGAACAAAUGUUGAAGUUUUACUUUCUCUUAUGGUAACUUACAGUAAUAUUUGCAGUCUUCUGAGUCUUUUUUAAUGUGUUGUUCAAUUAUUCUUUUGCGUGUGCUGUGGUGUGAGAAUGCCAUUGCAGCGUCUCGAGAAGGGCCCGUACUUCUCUCAGGUUCAUUUUCUUGCCCACGAUUCUGCUACUAUCUUGCAGGAUAACACAAGCCCUUCUGAAAGCUUAUGCGUUCUUUGCUGAUUAAUGGCAAUCACCAAAGAUUUGUAUAUGAGUGGAUUAUUUUUAAUAUUUGAGUUAACGUCCCUUUCAAACAUUGUUAAUUAGGGCUGUUGAGUCUGAAACCAUUCACGUUUUCUCUGUUUUCUUCAAUUCAUUCCUAGUAAUGUCCGCAGCACUGAGCUGCCAGGGCUGUACAACUUGUUUCUUUAUGGAAGCUUUCGUAUAUUAGUUUACAGAAGGAAUUGGAGACAAUAAUCAUAAGUUACAUUGAAAAGGGUGAUUUCGUGGUGGGGCUUUACAAGCAAAACUGACACAGUGUUGGAAAGAAGAAGUGAAGGACUUCAGAUGGUAUAGCAUGUGUAAAGGCCUCUCUGCUUAGAGAGGAAGGAACACAAAGCACCAGUUAAAUACAGGACAUGGGUCUUCCUGACCUCUGUCCUUUUUCUUGUUUAGACAUGUUAUAUGUCUUUCAUGAUUUGUCUUCACUUUUUGAGUCCAGACUGUGCACCUUCUUUUAUUCGUUAUGUAAACAGAUGAUCCUCUCCCAUGUUGCUUGCUUUCAUGUGAAGAGAACGGAGGGAGGCAUCUUCCUCAGUACAAACAGGCUGGUACAAUCCCUCUGCAACACAGAGAUGUCUGCUAAGGAAACACCUGUCACCACUGAAAUUGAUGGGGAUUUUGGCAUUUUGUUCUGGGGAAGUGGGGGUGACUGUAUUGUGGUUUGGCUGAGAAGUUAAUGGGCAUCCUUAGCCAUCUAGGUCAUUAAUUCCUGUGGCUCAAGUUAAUGCUGUUCUGAAUAAGUGACAGAGUUCUUUAUUUAAGUGAUCCAGUGAGCAAAGUAUAAAUGUUACUCAGAGGUUCACACAGGGAUAAUAUUCCUCUUGUGUUGGACACGAAGAGAAAUUCUAUUUUGCAUAAAGCCAAAGCAUAGCUCCAAGUCUCCUUUGCUGGCCCAUCCACCUCCUCAUUCUGCUUUCCUAAUUUUUGUGCAUACUUUUAGCUAUUCAGUGCUCACUCAUACACAAACUGCUUAAUCUUCCUCCAAUUUAACUUGUAGUAUCUGCAUCUCUCACUUCUGUGCUGAUCACUCCUUCCAAUUUCCCAGCGUGCAUUUAGUAAUCAGAUAAACAGAUACAUUUCAUUUGGUGCUUACAGAAAGUCUAACACCUCUGACUUUUGUUAUCCACAAGAGACUUCUCGGGGGAUAUUUCAGUUUAUUCCUUUUAUUCAUUUGGUGAGCAUAAAGCUUUUGAAAGAUAAUGAAAUGGAAGAACUAGGACUACAAGUCUUCCAGUGCUAUGAUUGGUAAGAGCCAAGCACAUUUCAGUUAGUGCAGUCAAUAUAACUCAGUUUUACACCAAGUCUGUAAGAGCUGGUUGAGAUAUUACACAUGAGCUCAUGCAUUCACUGUGAUUCACUGCAAGGGACACAGCUGUUAUACAUCCAUAUCAGCACACAAUUUGCACUCUUUGUUAUCAUUGCCAGAGCAGUGGCAGUUGGAGGCAGAAUAUAACAUUCCUUUGAGAGGGCAUUUUAUUUUCCUCCCUCUUAUAAAAGCCUUCUGAUGAAUUCCCAUGCUAACUUAAAUUAGCAUUUCCUCUCAAUGACAGCAGAUCAUACUUCUAUUCCACCCAUAUAUUAGAACGGGCAUUGGCAUAUUUGCCCACCUUAGAGUUAGAGCAGCCUAAGUUAGAGAAGAAUAACAAAAACAAUGUUCAAAAUAGGUAGCGCUUCUUAAUACAUCCAAAUGAGAAAGACAAAGUUUGGAAUAUGAUGAGCGCACAGCAAAAAGAAAUAAACAAGAACACAAGAAAGAAAAUGAAUAUGACAACUGAAAUGACUUGAGACUUCAUGUGGGUUUUAAAGUAGCAGUACAGUUGUACAGUAACUUACAGUUACAACAAACCUACUAAAAAGGAACUGACAUGAUUUUUAUAAGCAUUUAAGCUUUGUGUUACUUUUCUUCCAAGUAAUCUAUUCCUCAUAAACGCUAUAAAUUUUCUGUGUACCCAACUUAUCUGCGCAAUGUACCAUGGCUUUCUGAAGGUCUAUCUAUACCUGUCUGAAAAAUUCAUAAGAUGGAUCAUAGAAUAGAUGCAGACAAUUCACCUCCAUGCAUCUAGCAUGGUGUCCAUCGCCCCCAGCUCUGCACGCCGCACAAGUUACAUUUAAGAACAAAUCAAUUCCGAUUGUGUCGACUUUCCUGUUAAACCAACUUCUGACUUUGUGCCCAUUAUGUUUGGCACCAUUAAAUUAGAAAAAUGAUGAAAUUUCAGAUUAAGGUAUUAACACAGGCAUCUUUUCUAAGUUUCUCUGGUAUUUUUAGGUUCAGCACUUAAAAGAAGAACUUACUUCCAAGCAUUUCAUCACGAAUUCUACAAAUAACUUUUAAAUACAAACAAUUUAAUUCAUCUAAACUGUCAUAAAUAGGAGAUGGCACUAAGUGCAUCAUCAUCUCAGUCACCGCACAUUCAAGUGCAAGCAGAUACCAACUGUCUCUCCCAAGAACGUUAAAACUCUCACGCAAUCAGACUGUGAUACUUAUGACAUCUGUGGGAUUUAGGUACUUCAAGGGUUAGAUGGUUUGCUGUAGACAGGAAUAAUAGAGACAAGGAAAUGUAACCCAAUUUCUGACUUAAUAAAUUAAAGAUAUGGUCCUACUGCAACAUCCUUUAUGUUAUCUAGCUGUGAGCAAUCAAGUUGUAUAUUUUCUGUAUCAGAACAGAGGCUGUCUUUGACAGCCCAUUAAUCACACCAACCACUAGCUGUCAAACAUUAGGUGACUGUUCGUUUGCAAGGCUAAAAAUUGCAUUUGUUAAUAUCUAAAUAAAUAUAUAAAUAUAAAUUAGGCUAUACCAUAUAGCCUUGUGCUCAUUGUUUAGAAGUGGUGGCUUCUAGGCAAUGACUAGUGUAACAUUAUGGCUUAUAAUAUUCCUUUCUCAAGAUUCACGUAAACCUUAAAUUAGUCUCCAGGGGAAUAAAAAUUAAAAAAUAAAGCAAAGUAACAAUGAGAAACACUGCUUUGAAAUACCUAAUUACAAGCAGUUUUUCUCUUGAAUAGCAAGCAGUGAAUUUAUGUGGUAUGUAAUUGUUACCUUGAAUGAUAGAUAGAAUUCUUGAAUAUUUUGAAGUAAAACUCAUUCUGACUUGACUCCGUAUUAUCCUUCAAAAUGAUGUUUUGUUUCCUGAUGUCAAGGAAAGUCUGUCCGUUAUCUGAAGGCUUCAUCCAAGACAUUUAAAAAAGGCUUUCUGGUUAAGGUAAAAUCUUUUCUGAAGUGUGGACAGAUCCCAAUGGACCUCGAUCAGUCAAACUGUAUGGAAGCCUCCUCCAUCUGUCUCCCUGGGGAUCGGGAAGAGCUCCAGCAGUCCCAUGGGUGCUGUCUUUUGAAGUGGUUCUCAGACAGCUGAAAAGAAGAAGCUGCAACUGCUAGGGAUAAAACACUGAAGACUGUACAUUGGUCAUCUGAUGUCAGACUGCAGACCCUGGCUUAUACCCUUAAAAUUCAUAAGUCAAGUUUAUCUUCAGCUGGGAGAGUACCAAGGCAGGCAAUCAUAGCUGCAUCUUGGAAACGCACACCAUGUGACCUGGACUACUACGCUGAUCCUUCUGCAUAGAAAUAAGUUAAAUAAAUAUGCAUUUGAACUUCAAGUUAUUCAUUCCUCCUUCCUGAAAGGGAAAGAUAUGGCUCAAAAAUAGGACUGAAAGGGUUCAGGUAUUAAUCUACUGCUUAGCCAAAAGAAAGUGCAACUCAAGAGAGAUACGUCACAUAAGCAGAAAUACUGAUUGGCAAAUCACAUUUGAAGACAACCCAGGAAAAUCACCAAAUAAAUAAAAAUACUCCUCCUUGCUCCAAAAGAGCUAGAAAAUAAUUUAAGCAUUUUUAGUUAUGGAAAAUUUAUACACAAAUACAUGUUUUAAUCUUCUGUGUACAGUUUAUGUGUAUGCUUUUGUAUAAACUUGAUUUGGGUUAAUAAGAAAGAUUUAGUAUGUAUAGAAUUUGAAAAAAUAUAUAUAAUAUAUAUAUAUUAAAAUUGCUACACCCAUCACCUUGGCACAACAUAUGGCAAUAUUUGGGGAAGGAAAAUGUAAUAUUGAGAAGCUUUGAUCCUUGAAAGAGUUUCUGAGGAAAAAAAUAAGUUUCUUGGCAGUGAAAAUUCAAGUCCCACAGUAUGAGUGAGUUCUGCAGAGUGCCUGAAAAUCAGAAGCUGCACACAAGAUAGACUGUGCAUUGACAUCUACCGUGUGCAGUGGGGAUCUCGCUGUUUUUCUUUGACCUAAUGUUGUCGCAGUUAAUAAAGAUACUAAGCAGAACCAUCAGUACCACUGCGGAAGGAUAACAUUUGUGCAUUAGUAACAAAAUUAAAUUGUAAGAUUUAACACUACAUGUAAGAUUAGACAGGAAUAGUUUGAAGUGGAAAAAAUAGUGUUCUUAUGCUAGUGCAAGGCAAGGUGAUAGUUAAAUAAGAUCAGGUAAUCUUAUAAUAAUAACACCCUACACAAGCUAUUACUUACUUGCUCCUGAUUCCUUCAGAUCUGGAUAGACAAACAUAUACCAACAAGCAGCUCAGGCUGUGGGUGUGCUUAAAUUGCUGUUUCAUUUCAAAAUUCAGGAUAAGUACUAUCAAACUGAGAAGAAAACCGCAAAAAAUACCUGGGCAAACACAUAAAGGAAAGGGGCUAUUUGAAAGUUUGCUUCAGGCUUUUGCAGUGAUGUCAUUUUCUCCAUUCAUCUAACUUCAUCCCGAAAUCUGAUAGUAAUUUGUAGUAAUUAAUUGUUUACAUUCCCUUUCCACAAUUCAUAGGCAUUUGACACUCUGACAAAUUAAUUUUUCUUCUUUUUUUUUUUUUUAAUUUUAGCAUGUUCUUCUACAAUAGAGAACUAAGUUAUUCUCUACCUUAGUAUUAAAUUUAAAAGGUGCUAUUAGUUUCUCAUCAAGAAAAUCAUCACUACUUACAUCAGUAAUUUCAACUGGCCUCUAAUACAUGAAAAUUAGUGCUAACAACUGGUAAAAUUCCACCAAAACUAAAAGGUUUUUGAUGUGCUGCUUUUCAAUUGUAAUAGCUUUUCCUGAAACACACAGUGCCCUUGACAACCAAGUAUGUCUAGGCUAAAUUCUGGUCAGAGAUGUUAUGGUGGCGAUUCAGAGGGAAUUAAUUUAAUGUAAAGGUUAUCAUAUUUUCCUUUUACUGAACAUGUAGGUGGCUGACUCUGCUCCACAUAACAUGCUCACACUAGGUGGCGAGGAGAUAAGAUUGAAAGUAUGCGUAGAGUUAAGUGAAAACAACCUAUGGCUGAUGUGAGAUAAUGAAAAGAAAGUAAUACUUGUUGCAAUACAAUUUGUACUAGAAGAGAAAGCCUGAUAUUUAUCUGAAAUACUUUAGUGGCAACACUAUUUUUUGCCUGGCUGUAACCUCUUAAGAGUAUAGAGUUUGGAUAAAUUUGAUAGCAGGUAGCCUAAUAAAGAAUUUCAAGUCCCUGUCCCUAAGUUCUUGCAGACAAGAUAAAAGAAGUAAAAGAGGUAAACCCAGUGAUUAAAGAGUCAAGCAGAAUUAUGUUGGGUUGUUUCUUUUUGGUUUGGGUUUUGUUUGUUUGUUUUCCCAAAAUAGCAAUAUUAAUAUUGUAAUCUAGUAUAUAAAUGUCAAGAACUUAUUCUUGUUAAGCUUCCAUUGAUCAUGGAGGAAGUGAUAUUUUUUUACUAUUUUUAAUGGGAAAAGACUUCCUGAACAGAGUUUCCCCAUUAAGCUCAGACAUUCACAAUGAACUCAGCUUACUUUGCAGGACAGAAAUAGACUACUUAAGUAUAGCACAUUUACAUGGGUGUGUACAGAGAUGCACAUACACACAAUUCCUUCAGAGAAUACCACUUUUCACUCCAAGUCUAUUUCUUGCAGAGGCCCAUUAUUUUUUGCUUAUGAAAUGUUAUGUUUCCAUGCAGUAAAAUGUAUUGCAGAGCCCUAGGCUGUCACUAUGCUGCUUCAGUGCAAGCAGCAUGACUUACUGUUGUGGACAAAAAAAGGCAACUUCCUGCACAUGCAUAAUAAAAGACUUAAAUGUUUUCCCAAUACUUGUUUAAAAUGUAUUACUUCUAAUUAAAAAAACAUCCUUCAGAUUUACUGCUAAAACUAAUGAUGUAAGAAACAAAGACAUCUUUCUUCCUGCUUUAGUAGUCUAGGCAGUGGGCCAGUGUGUAGCGCAAGAUGUAUCUACAUUUUUAUUUUUAUUUUUUUUUAAGUGGGGGGGCAGUUUAUAGAAUGAUAUUUAAAUAAACUAUAUUUUUCCUCAAAUGGCUUAUUGAUAGUGGCGUCACCUUGUACUAUCCUUGGAUUCUAGCUGCUUACCAUUUUUCUGCUGUGCCUAUAACUUCAGUCUGUGACUACACUAAGAUGCAUCGAACCAUGACAUGCAAUUAUCCAAGCCCCACCAUUCCAAUCCCCACCAUUCUAAAUUAAGAUGUUUUCAGGGACUGACCUUUAUCCAGUACAUCCCUCUCUCUGACAGCUCAGGUCACCAUUCCUGGUGGGAUUCUCUAUCACCUUUUUCACCUCCCCAGUUAUCAGCGUUAUAACCUUUAUCCAAAAAACUGUAGGCACAUUAUCAUCCAUCUGCAUUCAUGCCAUGUGGUCCUGCUCCUCCAUCACCAUGUUCAAAAGUUGGUUUACAAUUACGAAGCCAGUUUUAUCUUUUAUUUGUUGAGGAAUUUGAUGCUGUUAUACCUUUUAAUUACUGAGGCUUAAUGCUUUGUAAUCUACCAAGCUGUGUUUACAAACCAGUUCUUGGAUACUAAAAAGAUUAAAUAGAGCAGCAGGCCCACAGCUUUUGAAAAGAAGGCAUUUCUACAGUCAGCCUGCUAUUUUACCAGUGUCUGAACAUUCUCCUGUGAUGAAUAUAAAAAGAGGUCAUACAGCUGUGAAGACUUCUCUCCUCAUGUCAGAGGCAAAAAUUUAGGGAAAGAGAAAAAUGUUUUCUGUGUACAGAAAUGAGAGACAAGAAUGGCACUAUUCUUCAACGCCUUAACACAAGAUGGGACAGAACCACAGCUAAUAAGUAUCUGUUAGCAAAUAGCUUACAAUUAUUCACAUUCACAGUGCAAAACAAUCACUAAAGUUAGCAGUGUGGAUAAGAACUGUGGGAAAAUAGAGGUUAUUCACUUCUAAUUUGAGCAAUAUAAUGAGUAUCUAGCUCCUCAAAUCCACCCAGUAAGUGAAUUUAUACACUGUUUAUCAUUAGACCACUCAUUAACAAGAUAAUAAUUAACUUUGUGUAAAAAGUUCCACAGUCUGAGGCUCUAUAAUAAUUAAUAUAUUAGGAGGUCUUACAUGGUCAUUAGUCCUGAGUUACACAGUAUGAAUGUCACUUGACUUUUGUAACAACUAAACCUACCAUUUCACCAACCAGACAAGAUUCAAGUUCCUCAAUCAAGACUUGCAGAAUAGCUGUACAACAUUUGUUCUGAAAGGACUUCAAAAUGUGCUAUGGAUUUGCUUGCUUUCUCCCCUCCCCCUCAAUGUCUGCAUAUUUUUUACUUCCUUUGGGCUCAUUAUUUUCUUCUGUUUCAAAGCAGUCUCAACUUUCUCAUUCUUGCCAUAAUUUUUUUUUCCAUUCUGUCAGAGGGAAGUAUUUUCCAUA